rnacentral:ncRNA from 1 species
CGGCUACACUGCGGGCGCUGAAACCAAAACCGGGCUCCAAAGACACGUGGUUUUUUUUUUGCCCAUGUCGCAACUUGGAGCCUGGUGGUGGAGAAGCUGAGAAGUACCGUAAGAACUCGAUCAAGAUAAUACUUGCGUGAGGAACGUGCUGCCGCUACUUU